GCUAGCAGCAGCUCUUCGUGGUCUCACUCAGGCAGAGAGGAGGUCUUUCCCAGUCCUGCUACUUAAGAUCCUUCAACUGGAGAUGCCAGGAACUGAACCUGGGACCUUCUGCUAUGCAGGGUGAAAAGUUUGCCUAAAUCUCCCCUUGAGAAUUCAUGGCAGAGGUGAGCUUCGAACCAGAGUUUCGAUUAUCAUCUCAAUCUCUGGUGCUUUUCGUAUGACGCAGGGAUGCAAGAAGAAGAAAUGCCAAUGGUGGCACCAAGAUUCCAAGGCCUGAGGAGUCCAUGGGCAUAUAUGAAGUGGGCAGAAAGACAGACAUUUAAAGGAUAAUGAAGAAGAUGUGUUUAUUUAAAUGCCGCCCUGUUUUCCACGCUAUCUUUCUAGCUAUGAGGAUUGCCCCCCAAAAGCCUGUGGAUUGCAGAAACUAUUUUUAGAUCAGAUACAUUUAUGCAGUGUGUAACUCAGUUCAUCUCUAUCUUCCUUCUCAUCUUCCAUUAUUCCUGAUCCCAAAGGU